UCAAGAUGCACUUAGUAAGCCCCAUGGAACUGUGAAAGCCAUAUGUAUCCCUGAAGGAGCAAAAUACUUAAAAAGGAAAGACAUUGAAUCCAUUAGAAAAUUUGCAGCUGACCAUUUUAAUCAGGAAAUCUUACCUGUAUUCCUUAACACCAAUAGAAACUGGAAUUCUCCAGUUGCUAACUUCAUAAUGGAGUCACAAAGACUGGAAUUAAUCAGACUAAUGGAGACCCAAGAGGAAGAUAUGGUCCUACUAACUGCUGGAGAGCACAAUAAAGCAUGCUCUUUGUUGGGAAAAUUACGACUGGAAUGUGCUGACCUUCUAGAAACAAGAGGAGUGGUGCUCCGUGACCCCACUCUGUUCUCUUUUCUUUGGGUGGUAGAUUUCCCACUCUUCCUGCCCAAGGAGGAAAAUCCCAGAGAGCUGGAAUCGGCCCACCACCCAUUUACUGCUCCCCACCCCAGUGACAUACACCUCCUGUACACUGAGCCCAAAAAGGAGGAUGUGAAAAUGCUCUCCCAUCUGCUCCAGGCUUUAGAUUAUGGGGCACCCCCUCAUGGAGGAAUUGCCUUAGGGUUAGACAGACUGAUAUGCCUUGUCACUGGAUCUCCAAGCAUCAGAGAUGUCAUAGCCUUCCCAAAGUCCUUCCGGGGACAUGACCUCAUGAGCAAUACCCCAGAUUCUGUCCCUCCUGAGGAACUGAAGCCCUAUCAUAUCCAAGUCUCCAGGCCAACAGACUUCAAAGUUUCUGCUCAUUGAAUCAUGCAUACCAUGCAAAAAGUUGAGCUUUUAGGUUUUGUCCUCUUUGCUUCCCCAAGGCUAAAGUCAGAUCUAGAGUUCUGCCACAGGUCUGACAAUCAAGUCUUUAGAUGGAAGGAAUCCAGGCAACAUU
rnacentral:sRNA from 1 species